CUGUGAGUAUUCUUUUGAAUGUUCACGAAUUCCCUAUCAUACUUCCAAGAAAAGCUCGCACUACCGUUAAAUAUAAAAUACCUGUACCGUAAACCGACACAGGUGGGUUGGUAGAGUAUACCAAGGGGCGCGAGAUAACUCUCUCUAAGGAACUCGGCAAAAUGACCCCGUAACUUCGGGAGAAGGGGUGCCCUCUGAAAGGAGGGCCGCAGUGACCAGGCCCUGGCGACUGUUUAUCAAAAACAUAGGUCUCCGCAAAGUCGUAAGGCAACAUAUGGGGGCUGACGCCUGCCCAGUGCCGGAAGGUUAAGGAAGUUGGUUAAGAGUAAUCUGAAGCUGGCGACCGAAGCCCCGGUGAACGGCGGCCGUAACAAUAACGGUCCUAAGGUAGCGAAAUUCCUUGUCGGGUAAGUUCCGACCCGCACGAAAGGCGUAACGAUCAGGGCACUGUCUCGGAGAGAGACUCGGUGAAAUAGACAUGUCUGUGAAGAUGCGGACUACCUGCACCUGGACAGAAAGACCCUAUGAAGCUUUACUGUAGUUUGGAAUUGGGUUCGGGCUCUUCUUGCGCAGCCUAGGUGGGAGGCUAUGAAGAUAAACUUUUGGGUUUAUUGGAGCCAACAGUGAGAGACCACUCUAGAGGAGCUAGAAUUCUAAUGGCGUUCCUUGAAGCAGGACGCUUGACAGUUUCAGAUGGGCAGUUUGACUGGGGCGGUCACCUCCUAAAAGGUAACGGAGGUGUGCAAAGGUUCCCUCAGGCUGGACGGAAAUCAGCCGUAGAGUGUAAAGGCAGAAGGGAGCUUGACUGCAAGACCUACAAGUCGAGCAGGGGCGAAAGCCGGCCUUAGUGAUCCGACGGUUCCGAGUGGAAGGGCCGUCGCUAAACGGAUAAAAGUUACUCUAAGGAUAACAGGCUGAUCUUCCCCAAGAGUUCACAUCGACGGGAAGGUUUGGCACCUCGAUGUCGGCUCAUCGCAACCUGGGGCGGUAGUACGUCCCAAGGGUUGGGCUGUUCGCCCAUGAAAGCGGUACGUGAGCUGGGUUCAGAACGUCGUGAGACAGUUCGGUCCAUAUCCGGUGUAGGCGUUGGAGCAUUGAGAGGAUUCUUCCAUAGUACGAGAGGACCUGGAAGGACACACCUCUGGUAUACCAGUUCUCCUGCCAAGGGGAUACGCUGGGUAGCUAUGUGUGGAGAGGAUAACCGCUGAAGGCAUCUAAGUGGGAAGCCCACCUCAAGAUGAGUGCUCCCUAUGAGAUCACGGUAAGACUAACCGGUUGAUAGGCAGGAAGUAUACAGCCAGUAAUGGUUUUAGCUGACCUGUACUAAUAGAUCCAUUGAUUUUGACGA
rnacentral:rRNA from 1 species